AUUGAACGCUGGCGGCAGGCCCAACACAUGCAAGUCGGACGGUAGCACAGAGAGCUUGCUCUCGGGUGACGAGUGGCGGACGGGUGAGUAAUGUCUGGGGAUCUGCCCGAUAGGGGGGGAUAACCACUGGAAACGGUGGCUAAUACCGCAUAACGUCGCAAGACCAAAGAGGGGGACCUUCGGGCCUCUCACUAUCGGAUGAACCCAGAUGGGAUUAGCUAGUAGGCGGGGUAACGGCCCACCUAGGCGACGAGCCCUAGCUGGUCGGAGAGGAUGACCAGCCACACUGGAACUGAGACACGGUCCCGACGCCUACGGGAGGCAGCAGUGGGGAAUAUUGCACAAUGGGCGCAAGCCUGAUGCAGCCAUGCCGCGUGUAUGAAGAAGGCCUUCGGGUUGUAAAGUACUUUCAGCGGGGAGGAAGGCGAUGUGGUUAAUAACCGCGUCGAUUGACGUUACCCGCAGAAGAAGCACCGGCUAACUCCGUGCCAGCCGCCGCCGUAA
rnacentral:rRNA from 1 species